AACGAACGUUAGCGGCGCGCUUAACACAUGCAAGUCGAGCGAGAAAGGGGCAACCCCGGUAAAGCGGCGCACGGGUGAGUAACACGUAGGUAAUUUACCCCCAGGUGGUGGAUAACCUUCCGAAAGGAGGGCUAAUACAGCAUGAGACCACGAGCUCGAAAGAGAUUGGGGUCAAAGCCGGCCUCUUCAUGAAAGCUGGCGCCAGGGGAUGAGCCUGCGGCCCAUCAGCUAGUUGGUAGGGUAAUGGCCUACCAAGGCGAAGACGGGUAGCUGGUCUGAGAGGAUGAUCAGCCACACUGGAACUGAGACACGGUCCAGACUCCUACGGGAGGCAGCAGUGGGGAAUCUUGCGCAAUGGGCGAAAGCCUGACGCAGCGACGCCGCGUGAGUGAUGAAGGCCUUCGGGUUGUAAAGCUCUGUGGAGGGGGACGAAUAAGUGUUGGCCAAUAUCCAACAUGAUGACGGUACCCCUUUAGCAAGCACCGGCUAACUCUGUGCCAGCCGCCGCAGUAAAAC
rnacentral:rRNA from 1 species